rnacentral:misc_RNA from 1 species
AACUUUUAGCAACGGAUCUCUAGGCUCUUGCAGCGAUGAAGAACGCAGUAAAGUGCGAAAAGUGAUGUGAUUUGCACGAACCUGUGAGUCAUCUAGUUUUUGAACGCAAAUGGCACCUGGGCGCAAGCUCAGGUAUGUCGGUUUGAGUAUCGAAUAAAGUUAACUCUUGGUUAAGAGUUGGAGUGGCCUUAGCGCAGGGAUUGUAUAUAUGUUAUGUAUAUGUACGUCUGGUCUUUGGCUUGAAUGUAUUCGUGACGCCUCACUAUUGGGGUGGUUGACUAUUUGCUAGUCACCGAUUUCGUGUGAAAGUAAUAGUCUAACAUUAACUUUGAUCUCAAAUUGGCAAGAUUACCCGCUGAACUUAAGCAUAUCAAUAAGCGGAGGCU